CCUACGGGUGGCAGCAGUGGGGAAUAUUGGGCAAUGGGCGCAAGCCUGACCCAGCAACGCAGCGUGAAGGAUGAAGGCUCUCGGGUUGUAAACUUCUUUUUUCAGGGACGUAGCAAGUGACGGUACCUGAGGUAUAAGCCACGGCUAACUACGUGCCAGCAGCCGCGGUAAUACGUAGGUGGCAAGCGUUAUCCGGAUUUACUGGGUGUAAAGGGCGUGUAGGCGGGGACGCAAGUCAGAUGUGAAAACCACGGGCUCAACCUGUGGCCUGCAUUUGAAACUGUGUGUCUUGAGUACUGGAGAGGCAGACGGAAUUCCUGGUGUAGCGGUGAAAUGCGUAGAUAUUAGGAGGAACACCAGUGGCGAAGGCAGUCUGCUGGACAGCAACUGACGCUGAGGCGCGAAAGCGUGGGGAGCAAACAGGAUUAGAUACCCUUGUAGUC
rnacentral:rRNA from 1 species